GAAAGCGUGGGGAGCGAACAGGAUUAGAUACCCUGGUAGUCCACGCUGUAAACGAUGGAUACUAGCUGUUUGGAGUAAUCUGAGUGGCUAAGCGAAAGUGAUAAGUAUCCCACCUGGGGAGUACGUUCGCAAGAAUGAAACUCAAAGGGAUAGGCGGGGGAACACACAAGCAGUGGAUUAUCUAGAUUAAUUGGAUACUAAGCCAAGAAUCUUACCUAGGAUUGACAUGUAUUGUGUCUGCGGUGAAAGUCGCAUAUCCGUAGCAAUACGGAGCUUUACACAGGUGGUGCAUGGUCGUCGUCAGCUCGUGCCGCAAGGUGUCUAGUUAAGUCUGGAAACGAGCGCAACCCUCGUGUUUAGUUAGUAUGUCUAAACAGACUGCUCGGGUAACCGAGAGGAAGGAGAGGAUGACGUCAGAUCCUCAUGCCCCUUACACCUAGGGCCUCAUAGAUAAUACAAUGGGUAGGUACAGCGAGAAGCGAUACCGCGAGGUGGAGCAAAUCUUUAAAACUACCCCUAGUUCGGAUUGUAGUCUGGAACUCGACUACAUGAAGUUGGAAUUGCUAGUAAUGGCAGAUCAGCCAUGCUGCCGUGAAUACGUCCCUGUUCCUUGCACUCACCGCCCGUCAAACCAUGGGAGCUGAGGCUCUUUGAAGACUCAUUAUAUGGGUUAAGGAGGGAAUCAGUGACUGGGGUUAAGUCGUAACAAGGCAUCCCUACCGGAAGGUGGGGAUA
rnacentral:rRNA from 1 species